UUCAGAUUCCUUUUUAAUGGUAAUCAAGUAUAAAUAUACUAGGAAGAGAAAAAAUGAGCUCUUAUUACUUAGAAGUGAUGGUAAAAUGAGGGAAAAAUGGGUCAAACCUUGCACCUAGCUUUCAAUUGAAAGGAUCCUUCCUCUGUAUCUUUUCCCUUUCCUAGAUCAUGUCACAACAGGCAUAUGUAAGAUUUAGAAUUCCAAAUAAGUUUUUGAUGAUACAGAUGUGAAAAUAUGAAGUGGCGAGAACAGAAAGGAAUAGAAAGUAGCUAAAGAUUUAGAAAAGGAAGACAGUGUAUAAUGCUGAAAGAUUAACUCUCAGACUCAAGAUUCCUUUAUGUGUUUGGACUUCUCUUUGGCAAAAACGAUUUACAUUUCCCAGAAUUCCUGGUCAGUAUGGAUUUCAACUAGUGGCCUGAAUGUAACCAAAGACGAGGAAUAUACCUGGGAAAGUACAACCCUUUGCUCUUUUUCCAGAAGGUACAGUUUCUCCUGUAAAUUUAAGUCACAGUUUAUGGGAAAAGAGGUCUUGACAAAAAAACAAACAAACAAACAAACAAACAAACAAAACCCAAAAAAAAAACCACCAAAAAACCAACCAAGAUAUAAACACCAACACCAGACAAAAACAGAAAAAAGUCUGUUAACCUCAUUUGUCUGGUAUUUUCAAAGACACAGCCUUGUCUUUCUGCUAUUACAAAAAUCACAUGAAAAAACCCAAUCUUUUAAGGA
rnacentral:lncRNA from 1 species